rnacentral:rRNA from 1 species
UACGUAGGUGACAAGCGUUGUCCGGAUUUACUGGGCGUAAAGAGCGCGCAGGCGGUCGUUCAAGUCGAGUGUGAAAGCCCCCGGCUCAACUGGGGAGGGUCAUUCGAUACUGAUCGACUCGAAGGCAGGAGAGGGUAGUGGAAUUCCCGGUGUAGUGGUGAAAUGCGUAGAUAUCGGGAGGAACACCAGUGGCGAAGGCGACUACCUGGCCUGUUCUGACGCUGAGGCGCGAAAGCUAGGGGAGCAAACGGG